rnacentral:rRNA from 1 species
UACGUAGGUGCGAGCGUUGUCCGGAAUUACUGGGCGUAAAGAGCUCGUAGGUGGUUUGUCACGUCGUCUGUGAAAUUCCGGGGCUUAACCUCGGGCGUGCAGGCGAUACGGGCAAUACUUGAGUGCUGUAGGGGAGACUGGAAUUCCUGGUGUAGCGGUGAAAUGCGCAGAUAUCAGGAGGAACACCAAUGGCGAAGGCAGCUCACAAAGCCAAGAUUGACGCUGAGGCACGAAAGUGUGGGGAUCAAACAGGAUUAGA